rfam:Picea glauca, whole genome shotgun sequence.
ACAUGCUUACAACAUAGAUUUAAUGCACCGGAUCCCAUUAGAAAUCCAUAGUUAAGCGAGUUUAGGCUAGAGUAGUAUUGGGAUGAGUGACCGCUUAGGAAGUCCUAGUAUUUUACAUGCC